AAAUUGAAGAGUUUGAUCAUGGCUCAGAUUGAACGCUGGCGGCAGGCCUAACACAUGCAAGUCGAACGGUAACAGGAAACAGCUUGCUGUUUCGCUGACGAGUGGCGGACGGGUGAGUAAUGUCUGGGAAACUGCCUGAUGGAGGGGGAUAACUACUGGAAACGGUAGCUAAUACCGCAUAACGUCGCAAGACCAAAGAGGGGGACCCUCGGGCCUCUUGCCAUCGGAUGUGCCCAGAUGGGAUUAGCUUGUUGGUGG
rnacentral:rRNA from 1 species